CUCAGGAUGAACACAGGAGUGCGCUUAUUUCCAUCCUGUCGCACUCCUGAGCUGAGAUCUGAGCCUCCAAAGAGCUGAGAAAUUAAAGUAAACAGAUUUGGGGUGCAAAAACUUAAAAAGCACUGUGUGUUUUAGUGCAUGAGAUUAGACAGGAAAGGUUAAUAAUACGGAUAAAUCAUCCAUCAUGUGAACAGGAAAUGAACUGAAUAGAAAACAUUAUACAAGUCCUGGAAUUGAACCUGAUUUUAAACCGGUUAUAGCCAGGAAGAAAGAAAGUGUGUUGUUUUUUUUAGUGAAAAAGCUGCUGGCUUUUUAUAAAACACUUUUUUAAUGAAGCCGACCUGGUGGGUAAACUGUAACACACCAUGAUUCAGGAAAAAAGAUCUGAUACCAAGCCACAGCGCGUCCUCUACAGAGCUUCCUGAUCAGUCACUGUUCAGAGUCUGGAGUGUUGAUGUACUGCUGUUAUCUAACACAAAGACAAGCUUUUAUUUUAAUCCAGAUCUAAAUCCGGAGCUCUGUGGUGUGAACAGCCAUGAAGAGCGCAGUGCUCUGAGCUUCACUUGAUUUCAGGCGUCUUGGUGUUUGGAGAAGUUCGUCUGAGCUCCGUUACGAAAUCCAGCACAUUUCUGUUCUUACCACAGAGCUGUGAAAUCAAACCUUCCUGCUUUACCAAACAGCUUUACUCAGGAAAAAAAAACAAGUGUUUCCGUUUUUAUGAAAUCAAAUCAGUUCCUGUUUUCAGAGCUUUAAAGCAGAAGUGAUUAUGGAGAGAUGUCGAGAUCCAUCACAGGUUUAUCAGGACGACAAAAAGGACGAUCUGUGGCCGUUUCUUCAGCGCCUCCGCGCUCUUCUCCUCCGGCUGGAAGUCCUCCUUCCUCAGCGGCUCGAUGAUGGACCCCAGUCUGGUCACCACUUUGGGAGCGACAGUGUUUCCUGCAGUUCUGUAAAGCGAGUCUGACCAUCACCACGUCCAGGCUGCAGGUUACCUGAUGCAACGCCACAGACGAGUUCCUCUUCUCUGAGAUGAUCACAGCCGGAAGCUUCUGGUCUUUUCUCAGGGCA